rnacentral:tRNA from 1 species
AUAUGGUAAUUAGUUUAACUAAAACAAUUGAUUUCGGCUCAUUAAACUAUGAUAAAUUCAUAAUUACCAAC